rnacentral:rRNA from 1 species
UACGUAGGGGGCAAGCGUUGUCCGGAUUCAUUGGGCGUAAAGAGCGUGUAGGCGGCCAGGUAGGUCGGUUGUGAAAACUGGAGGCUCAACCUUCAGACGUCGACCGAAACCAUCUGGCUAGAGUCCGGGAGAGGAGAGUGGAAUUCCUGGUGUAGCGGUGGAAUGCGCAGAUAUCAGGAGGAACACCUAUAGCGAAGGCAGCUCGCUGGUACGACACUGACGCUAAGGCGCGAAAGCGUGGGGAGCGAACAGG